rnacentral:tRNA from 1 species
GCGGGAAUAGCUCAGUUGGUAGAGCACAACCUUGCCAAGGUUGGGGUCGCGACUUCGAGUCUCGUUUCCCGCUCCA